CCUACGGGGGGCAGCAGUGAGGAAUAUUGGUCAAUGGGCGCGAGUCUGAACCAGCCAAGUAGCGUGAAGGAUGACUGCCCUAUGGGUUGUAAACUUCUUUUAUAAAGGAAUAAAGUGAGGCACGUGUGCCUUUUUGUAUGUACUUUAUGAAUAAGGAUCGGCUAACUCCGUGCCAGCAGCCGCGGUAAUACGGAGGAUGCGAGCGUUAUCCGGAUUUAUUGGGUUUAAAGGGUGCGUAGGUGGAGCGUUAAGUCAGUGGUAAAAUUUUGGGGCUCACCCGUAAAGCGCCAUUGAAACUGGCAGUCUUGAGUACAGGAGAGGUAGGCGGAAUGCGUGGUGUAGCGGUGAAAUGCAUAGAUAUCACGCAGAACCCCGAUUGCGAAGGCAGCUUAC
rnacentral:rRNA from 1 species